rnacentral:tRNA from 1 species
AAGGAUUUAAGUUAAGUUUAAAACUUUUAACCUUCAAAGUUGAAUAUAGAUUUUAUCUAAGCCUUA